rnacentral:rRNA from 1 species
CAGUCGCCACGGUAAUACGUAGGGCGCAAGCGUUAUCCGGAAUUAUUGGGCGUAAAGAGCCCGUAGGCGGUUUGUCGCGUCUGCCGUGAAAGUCCGGGGCUCAACCCCGGAUCUGCGGUGGGUACGGGCAGACUAGAGUGAUGUAGGGGAGACUGGAAUUCCUGGUGUAGCGGUGAAAUGCGCAGAUAUCAGGAGGAACACCGAUGGCGAAGGCAGGUCUCUGGGCAUUAACUGACGCUGAGGAGCGAAAGCAUGGGGAGCGAACAGGAUUAGAUACCCGCGUAGUCCCUGUCUCUUAUAC